AACACGUGGGCAACCUGCCUGUAAGACUGGGAUAACUUCGGGAAACCGAAGCUAAUACCGGAUAGGAUCUUCUCCUUCAUGGGAGAUGAUUGAAAGAUGGUUUCGGCUAUCACUUACAGAUGGGCCCGCGGUGCAUUAGCUAGNUUUGGGUGNGANGGGNUAACNGGCUUCANCCAAGGCAACGAUUGGCAUAGCCGGACCUGAGAGGGUGAUCGGCCACACUGNGGACUGAGACACGGCCCAGACUCCUACGGGAGGCAGCAGUAGGGAAUUCUUCCGCCAAUGGACGAAAGUCUGACGGAGCAACGCCCGCGUGAGUGAUGAAGGCUUUCGGGUCGUAAAACUCUCUUUGUUAGGGAAGAACAAGUACGAGAGUAACUGCUCGUACCUUGACGGUACCUAACCAGAAAGCCACGGCUAACUACGUGCCAGCAGCCGCGGUAAUACGUAGGUGGCAAGCGUUAUCCGGGAAUUAUUGGGCGUAAAGCGCGCGCAGGCGGUUUCUUAAGUCUGAUGUGAAAGCCCACGGCUCAACCGUGGAGGGUCAUUGGAAACUGGGGAACUUGAGUGCAGAAGAGAAAAGCGGAAUUCCACGUGUAGCGGUGAAAUGCGUAGAGAUGUGGAGGAACACCAGUGGCGAAGGCGGCUUUUUGGUCUGUAACUGACGCUGAGGCGCGAAAGCGUGGGGAGCAAACAGGAUUAGAUACCCUGGUAGUCCACGCCGUAAACGAUGAGUGCUAAGUGUUAGAGGGUUUCCGCCCUUUAGUGCUGCAGCUAACGCAUUAAGCACUCCGCCUGGGGGAGUACGGUCGCAAGACUGAAACUCAAAGGAAUUGACGGGGGCCCGCACAAGCGGUGGGAGCAUGUGGUUUAAUUCGAAGCAACGCGAAGAACCUUACCAGGUCUUGACAUCCUCUGACAACUCUAGAGAUAGAGCGUUCCCCUUCGGGGGACAGAGUGACAGGUGGUGCAUGGUUGUCGUCAGCUCGUGUCGUGAGAUGUUGGGGUUAAGUCCCGCAACGAGCGCAACCCNUUGAUUCUUAGUUGCCAGCAUUUAGUUGGGCACUCUAAAGGUGACUGCCGGUGACAAACCGGAAGAAAGUGGGGAUGACGUCAAAUCAUCAUGCCCCUUAUGACCUGGGGCCUUACACACGUGNNCNUACANAAUNNGGAANNUGGUACAAAGGGCUGCAAGACCGCGAGGUCAAGCCAAUCCCAUAAAACCAUUCUCAGUUCGGAUUGUAGGCUGCAACUCGCCUACAUGAAGCUGGAAUCGCUAGUAAUCGCGGAUCAGCAUGC
rnacentral:rRNA from 2 species